rnacentral:rRNA from 1 species
UAAUACGUAGGGUGCAAGCGUUGUCCGGAAUUAUUGGGCGUAAAGAGCUCGUAGGCGGUCUGUCGCGUCGGCUGUGAAAACUUGGGGCUCAACUCCGAGCUUGCAGUCGAUACGGGCAGGCUAGAGUUCGGCAGGGGAGACUGGAAUUCCUGGUGUAGCGGUGAAAUGCGCAGAUAUCAGGAGGAAGACCGGUGGCGAAGGCGGUCUGCU